AUUGAACGCUGGCGGCAGGCCUAACAUAUGCACGUCGAGCGGAUGAAGGGAGCUUGCUCCUGGAUUCAGCGGCGGCCGGGUGAGUAAUGCCUAGGAAUCUGCCUGCUAGAGGGGGAUAACGUCCGGACACGGGCGCUAAUACUGCAUACGUCCUGAGGGAGCAAGAGGGGGAUCUUCGGACUCCAUGCUCUCAGCUGAGCCUAGGUCGGAUUAGCUAGUCGGUGGGGCAAAGGCCUACCCAGGCGACGAUCCGUAACUGGUCUGAGAGGAUGAUCAGUCACACUAGAACUGAGACACGGUCCAGGCUCCUACAGGAGGCAGCAGUGGGGAAUAUUGGACAAUGGGCGAAAGCCUGAUCCAGCCAUGCCGCGUGUGUGAAGAAGGUCUUCGGAUUGUAAAGCUCUUGAAGUUGGGAGGAAGGGCAGUAAGUUAAUACCUUGCUGUUUUGACGUUACCAACAGAAUAAGCACCGGCUAGGUACGUG
rnacentral:rRNA from 1 species